rnacentral:tRNA from 1 species
AUUUUAUUAGUUUAAUAGAACAUUUAUUUUCCAAAUAAAAAGAUAUAAAAUA